GAAUCUAAAGACAGAGCCACUUGGUCGGUUUUAGAGUUCAAUGUAAAACCAUUGACAAGUCCAUUAGCCUUGGGUACUCGGGAUUUGUUUUUCUUACUACCAUUUUUAGAGUUUCAUCUCUUGGCGCACUCUCUCUCUCUCUCUCUCUCUCUAUAUAUAUAUAUAUAUACACAAAAAAAACCACACCUAAUUUCUUUAUUUUAAUUUUAUUUUUUUAAUUUUAUUUUUAAUACACACAUAUUGCGAUUAUACAAGCAUACAAACAUACAUUUCAUACAAUCCUUAAAAAUCUUCAAACAUACCUACACUCAGUCCCACAGAUAAUUCCUUUUCCCAUCACCAUCCACCACCCCUCACCCCACCUUUGUGUUAGACUUCCAAUCAACUCAAUUGCAAUUUCUUUCCACUUCUAUUACCGGUACUUUCUUUCACACACCUUUAACCUAAUUUCAUGUUCCUUUUUCUAUUACACAUUGUUAUCCAUCUUAUUUAGUAUUUCAGUAUUUAAAACGGAACUUGUUUAUUCUAAUACGAGUUCUGAUUUUUCAAUAUGGUUUUGCAAGUAUCCUUUAAAGAACCUUCCAGUCCCUGUCUAUCUUCUCUUUUGAGAUCCUUCCAAUUUCUCCCAUUGUUUUGGAUAUAUUGUAGUACUCCAAUAAUUUGGCAAGCCACUCUGUUUUUGUCGGUAUAACACCACUUUUCCAAUUUUUCGCAAGCAAUAGCCUUGUCUUUAUAUUUCUUUAUAUUUAUAUAAUUAUAUAAUGUCUUUAUAUUUACUCACACCUAAUUUCAAGACACUUUUACCACAGCAUUUAUGUUUAGCAAGCGUACGCUCAUAGAUGAGUGUGGGUCUCCAUUAGCCUCCAUCGUUCCCUCUAAUAGUGAACUUGUGUGGACAAAUACCUAUCCAUUUUAAAUUAAAAUGGGGCUGUUCAAAUAAGAAGAUAAUGGCUUCUUCACGGGCUCAAGGGCUAGAUUAACCAAAGUACAGAAAUGUGUACAUUUUUUAACAAAAUCCCAAAUGGCCCUGUGAGUUUCCAGGACAUCAAAGGAAUCUUGAGGACACAGAGAUAAUAAAAGGAUUCAGUGAUUCACAUCUGGAGGGAGAAAUGCUAUGUUUUUGUUUUUUUGAAAAAUCAACAACCGCCCCUUUCACUAGACAAGGUCUUGUGCAGUCAUAGCACUUGAGAAAGUUCUGUGGAGGCUUUAUAAAUGUGAGUAGGGGAGCAGACCAGCCAUUCAUUGGGAGGAAAUUAUUCACAAUAAAUAUACUGUAAAUUCCUUACAGAUAUACAACAAAGCCUAGUACAAUGAAGUCAGCAAAGUCUUUUCUUUGCAGUAGCAUCAUAACUUUGGAACUACUUACCCAAGGAAGCCCAUCUGUCUUGCUUUGGGAGGCCCGUAGAUUUUUUGAGACUCAUUCUUAUGGACCUUAAAGACAAACUGCUGAUUUGUUUCUGACUGUCUCCCGCUUGGACUACUGCAUUGUGAGGGGAGAGAGACUUUCUGUUCUUCAUCAGGCAAUAGUGCUUCCACCUGCCUUGCCCUGGGAGCCUUUCCCAGACCAUGACAUUAAGAACAGCAGCAGCAGCAGCAGCUGGGAAGAAAGGAGUUCAGGGAUAUUUAAAAAAAAAAAAAAGUUUUAUAAGUUGUGUGCUUGUUUCUCAAUUUGAUCCUUUUUUAUGGUUUUGUAUGUUUUGUGCUAUUUUAUGCAUUGAAAUUUGCUGCAAUUUUUAUUGAUUAUAGAUUAGUAAUUCUUUCUUGUGGUUGAUGAGUGUAAACUGUUUAAAUUAUCGUUUGCUGAUGUUUAAUUUUACUGUUUAUGAUGGAUUGCUGAAAGUUCUUUUGUUUGAUAUAAGUUGUUUAUUUUAAAGUUACUGUGACUUUUUAUAUUCGAUCAGAUUGUUACUAUUAAUGUUUGAUGUUUCAUUAUGUUUUUAUUUGUGUUGGAAUCCACCUAGAGUGGCUGGGGCAGCCCAGCCAGAUGGGUGGGGUAGAUAAAUU
rnacentral:lncRNA from 1 species